ensembl:piRNA 21ur-1591 ncRNA
UGCGAUUGAUGACAUUGCAUG